GGCUAGUUCCUAUGAUACUGGGUUAUCAGAAUUUAACAUCCACAUUCAUGUCACUAAUGUCCCCACUGCUAAAUUUGACUGACUUUAA
rnacentral:sRNA from 1 species